rnacentral:rRNA from 1 species
GAUGAACGCUGGCGGCGUGCUUAACACAUGCAAGUCGAGCGGAAAGGCCCUGCGUUUGUGUGGUUCUCGUUUGGCGAACAGGGGAGUGACACGUGAGGAUACUGCCCUUGUCUUUGUGAGAACUUCUGGGAACUGCGGCGAAUACCGGAGAGGAGCUUCUGCUGCGUAGGGUGGGUAGGAGAGUGUCGGCGUUGGUGGAUGGAUUCGCUGCUUAUCAGCUGGUUUGGGGAGUAGUUACUUACCAAGGUUUUGGCGGGUAGCCGGCCUGAGAGAGUUACCGGCCACAUUGGGACUGAGAUACGGCCCAGACUCCUACGGGCGGCAGCAGUGGGGAAUAUUGCACAAUGGGCGGAAGCCUGAUGCAGCAACGCCGCGUGCGGGAUGACGGCCUUCGGGUUGUAAACCGCUUUCGCCUGUGACGAAGAGUGAGUGACGGUAAUGGGUAAAGAAGCACCGGCUAACUACGUG